GUGGGGAAUAUUGGGCAAUGGGCGCAAGCCUGACCCAGCCACGCCGCGUGAGUGAUGAAGGCCUUCGGGUCGUAAAGCUCUGUGGGGAGGGACGAAAAAACGCUGGCUAAUAUCCAGCGGACUGACGGUACCUCCUUAGCAAGCACCGGCUAACUCCGUGCCAGCAGCCGCGGUAAUACGGAGGGUGCAAACGUUGCUCGGAAUCAUUGGGCGUAAAGCGCACGUAGGUGGUCCGGCAAGUCGGAUGUGAAAGCCCUCGGCUUAACCGAGGAAGUGCAUUCGAAACUACCAGACUUGAAUACUGGAGGGGGUCGCGGAAUUCCCGGUGUAGAGGUGAAAUUCGUAGAUAUCGGGAGGAACACCAGCGGCGAAGGCGGCGACCUGGACAGAUAUUGACACUGAGGUGCGAAAGCGUGGGGAGCAAACAGGAUUAGAUACCCGAGUAGUCC
rnacentral:rRNA from 1 species